AUAAACGCUGGCGGUGUGCUUAACACAUGCAGGUCGAGCGAGAAGGUUCCUUCGGGGAUGAGUACAGCGGCGGACGGGUGAGUAAUACGUGAGAAUCUGCCCUUAAGUGAAGGAUACCCUCGAGAAAUCGAGUUUAAUACUGCAUACGUCCCUACGGGGAGAAAGGUGGCUUUUAUGCUGCCGCUUGAGGAUGAGCUUACGCGCUAUUAGUUAGUUGGUGGGGUAAAAGCCUACCAAGACUUUGAUGGCUAGCCGGCCUGAGAGGGUGUACGGCCACAUUGGGACUGAGAUACGGCCCAAACUCCUACGGGAGGCAGCAGUGAGGAAUAUUGCGCAAUGGGCGAAAGCCUGACGCAGCGACACCGCGUGAAGGAUGAAGGUCUUAGGAUUGUAAACUUCUGUUAAGUGAGAAGAAAGACCCACCUCUAAUAUGGGUGGGAGAUGACGUUAUCACUAAAGAAAGCACCGGCUAAUCUCGU
rnacentral:rRNA from 1 species